GAUGAACGCUGGCGGCGUGCUUAAGACAUGCAAGUCGAACGCAGAGUAGCAGCAAUGUUGCUCUGAGUGGCGAAUGGGUGCGUAACACGUAGGUGAUCUGCCCAGAAGUGUGGAAUAACAGUCCGAAAGGACUGCUAAUACCGCAUGUGGCGCGCGGGGCUAGAGGCCCGCACGCGAAAGGCCGGCAACGGUCGCUUCUGGAGGAGCCUGCGGCCCAUCAGGUAGUUGGUAGGGUAAUGGCCUACCAAGCCUACGAC
rnacentral:rRNA from 1 species